UACGAUCUGUAUGAUUGAAUCUUAUUUCGAUAUUGUCAAGAUAUAUCGAGCAGAAUGUGACACACUCGGUAGCUACAUAUGCUUCCGCUAUAGACCCUUCAGGCCUUACUUUAUUGCGUACAUACUUUUUCAAGGUGCACAAGAAUCUAUAAAUAAAAAUAAAUUUAAAUUUUAGAAAUAUAUUUAUAUUUUAUAAUUGAUAUGAUAAAAUAUAUAUAAUUUUUUAUUUUUCAAUAGGAUACAUCCAUCGAUAAUGUAUCGGUCUGGCCAAAAAAGCUUCUUUUGGAAGAUGAACAGCCAGAUGCACCAUAAC
rnacentral:lncRNA from 1 species